rnacentral:rRNA from 1 species
UGGGGAAUUUUGCGCAAUGGGCUAACGCCUGACGCAGCAACGCCGCGUGGAGGAUGAAGGUCUUUGGAUUGUAAACUCCUGUCAGCGGGGAAAAAGCGACCGGUGCUCAUACCACCGGGAGUUGAUUGUACCCGCAGAGGAAGCCCCGGCUAACUCUGUGCCAGCAGCCGCGGUAAUACAGAGGGGGCAAGCGUUAUUCGGAAUUAUUGGGCGUAAAGGGCGCGUAGGCGGCUUCGCAAGUGGAAGGUGAAAUCCCUCGGCUUAACCGAGGAACUGCCCUCCAAACUGCGUUGCUUGAGGCCGGGAGAGGUGAGUGGAAUUCCCAGUGUAGCGGUGAAAUGCGUAGAUAUUGGGAGGAACACCAGUGGCGAAGGCGGCUCACUGGACCGGUUCUGACGCUGAUGCGCGAAAGCGUGGGGAGCAAACGG